GACGAACGCUGGCGGCGUGCCUAAUACAUGCAAGUCGAACGCAGUGGGGACGGGUGAGUAACACGUGGUUAACCUCCCAUCAGAGGGGAUAACACUUGGAAACAGGUGCUAAACCGCUACUGGUGGAUGGACCCGCGGGGCAUUAGCGAGUGGGGGGGGUAACGGCUCACCAAGGCCACGAUGCAUAGCCGACCUGAGAGGAUGAUCGGCCACACUGGGACUGAGACACGGUCCAGACUCCUACGGGAGGCAGCAGUGGGGAAUCUUCGACAAUGGGCGCAAGUCUGACCGAGCAACGCCGCGUGUGUGAAGAAGGCUUUCGGAUUGUAAAGCUCUGUUGUUAGAGAAGCGGUAUCUAACCAGAAAGCAACGGCUAACUCCGUGCCAGCAGCCGCGGUAAUUC
rnacentral:rRNA from 1 species